rnacentral:lncRNA from 1 species
GUUUCUUUUUUCUCUUUUUUCUUAUUAAUUUUAUUAUUUUUUUUUCUUAAAUCAGUAAUAAAGUUAAAAUUAAAGAAUACUAAAGUAAAUAUUUGAUAAAUCUAUAUGGGUAUCUAAAGUUUUUUGUAUAUAAUUUAAUGAAAUAUUAACAAAAAAGCUACCGAAAAAGUAAAAAUGAAACCACAUGAGGGCAAUUUGAUAUAUUUUAAACCACAUGGGGCCAAAGUGAGAAACUAUGAAAUCACAUGGAGGGCUUUUGAAGUUUUUCCUAUUUUUUUUUGCCCCCAUUGGUGAUAGAUAUAUAAUGUGCCGUAUAGAUCUCAUUGCUUUAAUUAGUUAAAAUAUAAUUUCUACAAUUUCACUAGAAAAUUAACAAUUAAAGUAGCAUAUCUCUACAUUCUAUAUCAGUAUCUUCAAAAUUAAAUAACUAACGGACCUGUCGAUAAAACUUAGUCUGAGUAACUUAUAGUAGCAAUAGUUUUUUUUUUUUUUUUCACCACACGUCGAGGCCGUGCUGCGCGUCUCACCCACAUAGCUUAAUUUAUUUUCUUACUGAAUGAAACGGAUAGCGUGCUAUCUUUCUCUCUCAAAAAAAAAAAAAAUCUCAUUUCUCCCUUUAGUUUUUUCUCUCUCUAUAUAUAUUGAA